GACGAACGCUGGCGGCGUGCUUAACACAUGCAAGUCGAACGGAAAGGCCCUGCUUGCAGGGUACUCGAGUGGCGAACGGGUGAGUAACACGUGGGUGAUCUGCCCUGCACUUCGGGAUAAGCCUGGGAAACUGGGUCUAAUACCGGAUAGGAGCCAUUUUGAGUGUUAUGGUUGGAAAGUUUUUUCGGUGUAGGAUGAGCUCGCGGCCUAUCAGCUUGUUGGUGGGGUAAUGGCCUACCAAGGCGGCGACGGGUAGCCGGCCUGAGAGGGUGGACGGCCACAUUGGGACUGAGAUACGGCCCAGACUCCUACGGGAGGCAGCAGUGGGGAAUAUUGCACAAUGGGCGCGAGCCUGAUGCAGCGACGCCGCGUGGGGGAUGACGGCCUUCGGGUUGUAAACUCCUUUCGCUAGGGACGAAGCUUUUUGUGACGGUACCUAGAUAAGAAGCACCGGCUAACUACGUG
rnacentral:rRNA from 1 species